rnacentral:rRNA from 1 species
GUGUCAGCAGCCGCGGUAAGACGAACCGUCCAAACGUUAUUCGGAAUUACUGGGCUUAAAGGGUGCGUAGGCGGCGCGGAAAGUAGGGUGUGAAAUCCCUCGGCUUAACCGAGGAAUGGCGCUCUAAACUACCGUGCUUGAGGAAGAUAGAGGAGAGCGGAACUUAGGGUGGAGCGGUGAAAUGCGUUGAUAUCCUAAGGAACACCGGUGGCGAAGGCGGCUCUCUGGAUCUUUUCUGACGCUGAGGCACGAAAGCUAGGGGAGCGAACGGGAUUAGAAACCCUGGUAGUCC